CCCGAAGUAUCCUGAAUCUUUCGCAUUGUUAAUCAUACAAGUGCAUAUAAUAAACACAGAAAAUCAAUGAUAAUCAUGCUAUUAUAUAAUUCCGAAAAAUUAACGCACUGUAUUCAUAUAAAUCUAUCAACACUUUAUCAAAUUAAUGACAUUUAUUCUAUGUUAAAAUGCAAGCAAAAUAAUUUAAAUAAACUAUAAGUCAUAUUUUAUGAUAAAUUUGGUUUAUGUUAAUAGAUUACAAUGUCCUUAUAUGGAAAAAAUGCACACUAUUAUUAUAAUAUUAUUAAAAUAUUAAAACACUAAUGAUGAAUUUUCCAUAAUGGAUAUUCAGGUUCAUCGGGC
rnacentral:rRNA from 1 species